UACGGAGGGUGCAAACGUUGCUCGGAAUCAUUGGGCGUAAAGCGCAUGUAGGCGGUCCAGCAAGUCGGGUGUGAAAGCCCUCGGCUUAACCGAGGAAGUGCAUUCGAAACUACUAGACUUGAGUACUGAAGAGGGUCGCGGAAAUUCCCGGUGUAGAGGUGAAAUUCGUAGAUAUCGGGAGGAACACCAGUGGCGAAGGCGGCGACCUGGGCAGAUACUGACGCUGAGAUGCGAAAGCGUGGGGAGCAAACAGG
rnacentral:rRNA from 1 species